AUGCCUUAAACUUAUGAGUAAGGAAAAUAACGAUUCGGGGUGACGCCCGAAUCCUCACUGCUAAUGUGAGACGAAUUUUUGAGCGGGUAAAGGUCGCCCUCAAGGUGACCCGCCUACUUUGCGGGAUGCCUGGGAGUUGCGAUCUGCCCGACCUUAUUCACGCCUAAAAAGUAGACUGACUGUGGGGUGGUCGUGUUUUUUGUUUCUUGUUGGUAGGUGGUGAAUGCGUUUUUUUCGUUGUUUUCUCCGUUACUCAGGCUGCCAGUUGCUUGGCAGUCUUGUCGCUGGCUGUGGACGCUCUGCACUUCAUCACCGUCCCCAGCUGCGCUUUGAGCCGGUCUAAGGUUGCCCACAGUAUUGACGUUGGGACCCACGAAACUGGCAAUUUCCAUGUGUGCGGCCUUACCCAGUUCUCCCAAACUUCUGCGUAUAACCGCUUCUCUGUGCUUCAGAAAGAUAAGUCCGGCCCCGGCCUCACACAGCAGCUCAGUUCGUGACAGCGUUUAAUAUGUAAAAUGGAGCAAAUAAUUUAUAGGGCGUUGGGAGAGUUAAAGAGACUAAUUCAUUUACGUGUUAAAUACAGGGAAUGGCUUUUGCAUUGAUAUAACCCCAGCCUCCAGCAUGCGCCAGACCUGACGUAGGUGUUCGGCACAUAUUUUGUCCA
ensembl:lncRNA RNA, U12 small nuclear